rnacentral:rRNA from 1 species
GACAGAGGCCACAAGCGUUAGGCGGAAUCACUGGGCCUAAAGCGUGUGUAGGCGGAUCGUUAAGUGCCUUGUGAAAUCCCACGGCUCACCCGUGGAACGGCUGGGCAUACUGGCGGUCUUGAGCCAUCUAGGGGCGACUGGAACAAACGGUGGAGCGGUGAAAUGCGUAGAUAACGUUUGGAACGCCAACGGUGAAAACAGGUCGCUGGGGAUGUGCUGACGCUGUGACACGAAAGCCAGGGGAGCAAACGGG